rnacentral:rRNA from 1 species
GACGAACGCUGGCGGCGUGCCUAAUACAUGCAAGUCGACCUUAGUGGCGGACGGGUGAGUAACGCGUAGGAACCUGCCUAUUAGAGGGGGAUAACUAUUGGAAACGAUAGCUAAUACCGCAUACUAGUAGAUGGACCUGCGGUGCAUUAGCUAGUUGGUGAGGUAACGGCUCACCAAGGCCACGAUGCAUAGCCGACCUGAGAGGGUGAUCAGUCACACUGGAACGGAGACACGGUCCAGACUCCUACGGGAGGCAGCAGGGGGGAAUAUUGGACAAUGGGCGAAAGCCUGAUCCAGCCAUGCCGCGUGUGUGAAGAAGGUCUUCGGAUUGUAAAGCACUUUAAGUUGGGAGGCGUUACCAACAGAAUAAGCACCGGCUAACUUCGUGCCAGCAGCCGCGGUAAUUC